rnacentral:rRNA from 1 species
UGGAUUAGUGGCGAACGGGUGAGUAACACGUGAGUAACCUGCCCUUGACUCUGGGAUAAGCACUGGAAACGGUGUCUAAUACCGGAUACGAACUUCAGUCGCAUGGCUAGGAGUUGGAAAGAAUUUCGGUCAAGGAUGGACUCGCGGCCUAUCAGCUAGUUGGUGAGGUAAUGGCCCACCAAGGCGACGACGGGUAGCCGGCCUGAGAGGGUGACCGGCCACACUGGGACUGAGACACGGCCCAGACUCCUACGGGAGGCAGCAGUGGGGAAUAUUGCACAAUGGGCGCAAGCCUGAUGCAGCAACGCCGCGUGAGGGACGACGGCCUUCGGGUUGUAAACCUCUUUUAGUAGGGAAGAAGCGAAAGUGACGGUACCUGCAGAAAAAGCACCGGCUAACUACGUGCCAGCAGCCGCGGUAAUACGUAGGGUGCAAGCGUUAUCCGGAAUUAUUGGGCGUAAAGAGCUCGUAGGCGGUCUGUCGCGUCUGCUGUGAAAACUGGGGGCUCAACCCCCAGCCUGCAGUGGGUACGGGCAGACUAGAGUGCGGUAGGGGAGAUUGGAACUCCUGGUGUAGCGGUGGAAUGCGCAGAUAUCAGGAAGAACACCGAUGGCGAAGGCAGAUCUCUGGGCCGUAACUGA